GGUCAGGAAGAGCCUGCAGGACGUGCCAGUGUGAGCGGAGGUCGGAGUGGGGCUGCGUGUGUGACAGUCAAGGGUCAAGUUUCUUAUGCGUGAACCAAGAGUUGGGAAAGAGGUCUCUGACACAUGGAUGAAAACUCGCCAGCGGCUAGAUAAUCCUCUUGAAAAAUGAGAUCAGGGUGAACACACAUGCUCUUGCAUACCAAAUGCCGCUCCAGGCUCCAUGGGUAUAAACUCACAGGAGCCUCCCAGCACCAUGUGAGGUUUCUGGAGGGGGAAGAGAAGGAAGGAGGAAAGCAUGACUGCUUUUGGUUUAGGGGGAAAACAAAGAGCACACAACAGGCCCUUUCUGUGUGAUUCGGUGACCUGGUUGGCACUGAGGAUUUGUCAAGCUGACCAACCACGCCAAGCAUAGCAAAAGAAUUGGAGUCAAAU